CAAAGAAACAUGCCUAUUCAACUUACCUAACUGCGCGACCGCAUGAAGUUGCAUCAAAUAAAUGCAAGCUAUGCUUAGGUAGCCGUGAUGUAAAGACACUGAAUCUGGCUAACUUCACCCCUCCUCUGGAGAAGCACAGCUGGUGGGGGUCACAUCUCCCCUCCUGGUGGAGCCCCUGGCACAGGGUCCGACCGGCCUGGAGAUGAUAUCCUAUUACCUGCCAAAACCCAUAUCACGCUUGAAGGGUCAGGUUUCUUUGGAUGAUGCCACGAAGACAAGAUUAACCAAGACUUGCUUCUUUUUGAGCAAUAAUGAAAAGGGUCCCGGAGCCCGCAAAGGAAAGGCAUUCCACCAGUGAUCCUGUCCUCCUGAGCAGCCUGCAUACUGUGGUCUUUAAGUCCUCAUUAUUUGGACAAAGCUGACAAGAUGGCUGCAGGUUCCUUCAAUUUUAACAAGUGACAGUUAUAACAAUUAUCAAACAGUAAUUUCAUAUCAUAUUUUUAAAGAUCCAUAUCACAUCUAAGUUUUGACAAUUUGAGUAGUCAAAUCAUAUACACUGCAAAUAUUAUUUUCUGAACAGA